AUUGAACGCUGGCGGCAUGCCUUACACAUGCAAGUCGAACGGCAGCACGGGUGCUUGCACCUGGUGGCGAGUGGCGAACGGGUGAGUAAUACAUCGGAACGUACCUUAUCGUGGGGGAUAACGCAGCGAAAGCUGUGCUAAUACCGCAUACGCCCUGAGGGGGAAAGCGGGGGAUCGAAAGACCUCGCGCGAUUAGAGCGGCCGAUGCCUGAUUAGCUUGUUGGUGGGGUAAAAGCCCACCAAGGCGACGAUCAGUAGCUGGUCUGAGAGGACGAUAAGCCACACUGGGACUGAGGCACGGCCCAGACUCCUACGGGAGGCAGCAGUGGGGAAUUUGGGACAAUGGGGGAAACCCUGAUCCAGCAAUGCCGCGUGAGUGAAGAAGGCCUUCGGGUUGUAAAGCUCUUUUGUCAGGGAAGAAACACCGGCUCUAACACAGUCCGGGAAUGACGGUACCUGAAGAAUAAGCACCGGCUAACUACGUGCCAGCAGCCGCCGUAA
rnacentral:rRNA from 1 species